GCUACACCACUGCCUCAAUAACAAUGACGUCAGCUAGAUACGCCGCUUGAAGGCGGGGAUCGGGUCGUGCGUGGUGUCGGAUGAAAUGUUUCAGUUGGUGUUGGUUGCCCUGGAGACCAGGAAGCAUAGAGCAGGUUUCAUCUCUUUUGUACCCUCAAUCCACUUUGUUAAGGAGCAUGAAUAGGGUCUUACCUUCAUCGUGACCUUGUGUAAUCAGUAUCAGUCUGGGUAUCUCUGACGAAGGAACAUGGUUUUGGUAUGGCAUGGACCCUAAUAAAUUAUUUCAACCUGUUCAGACUGGGACAAUGACAACAUCCUGACUAACAGCUAAAACCUAACCAGAUCUCUGGAAGCAAAUGUAUUUAGUCUGGAGGUCCCUCCCGGGGCCCCACAGUGUCUCAGAUGAUGGAGAGAGCUGGAAUGCAGGAAUGUGGAGAGAUAAUCCUGCAACCUCAGUGGAUACUGCUCAACGCCUACCAGUGCUUUGAUCUUCACACCGCUGCCAAGGGGAACAAGCAAUUUCCUGAGCUCUUCUCAGAGGAAGGUUCCUGUAAAUGCAUGUUCCAUGUCAGCACGCAGGUAUCCAAGGAGCCUACCCACAUGAACACAAAUCUAUUUAAUUUGGUUAAUGCUGCUGAUAAACAGAUUCUGCUCAUAAAACUCCUCCAUCACCCGGGAGGAAAGGGUGCAUGUCAAAGAAACCCUAUACGUUUGCAGUUUCACCUCUAGCCGCACCCUUGAGAGUCACAGGACAACUUCCAUCAGAAUUUCCACUAGUUGUUGCCUAAGAAUGUAAGCUACUGUAUGUGAGUCAGCCAUGUCAGGUUUCUGAGCAGUAAUGUUGAUAAGAUAUAUAAUGCUCCCACCCCUGACUCCCUGUCCUUCUGGCGACUGCUCUGGAAAAACAUUCUCAUCUAUCAGGAAUGUAAUUCACUCUAUAGUGAUGGAAAAUACUACUAAGAACAGGUUUUCUCUGUGAAAUAUUAAAUUAACUGGUAUCCUGAAAUGCAACAUUCUUCUAAAACAAAGUGAUGUAUUUGUCUGACGUCUCUAAUUUGGGGAAACUACAGUAAACUACUGGGCAAAUGUUAGAGUUUCGAGUAGCAUAUGUCAGAAGCACAAGCACGGAAAUCUAAAGCCCUGUGAUAGCUGAUAGAUAGAGGGGUGGGGGGGACAGGUACAGGUGAUGACGCUCAAGUGAUGUUUCCUCUUUGAGGUGCCUCUAUUCAUAUCCUGCUACCAAAUAGACAAUGGGGGGCGGUUUUCAGUCUUAUGUUUGUUAUUCCUGUUGCAAUAUUCAAUAGCUGCCACCGUCCCCCUGUUGUGGUACUUACUACCUUUCCACGGCCACCUCUCUGGUUAUGCACCUUUUCACAUCCUCAUCGAAGAUAACAUUUAUAAAUGAGAUGAAUCUACUUAAUUGCCAACAGUUGUCUCCUCCACACCUUUUCUCUGAUAAGAUUUUAUAUGGACAAAAAUAUGUUGUACCUUUACUGUAACUUAUCUGAGCAAUAAUACAUAUUCAAACUUGUACCAAUAGUACUGAAGACUUGCCUGGGUUAAAGAAUUUAAGAGAGACACCCAUCUGUAAGCAGCAGAUGUUUAAAUGAUUCAUGAGAUAGAACUGGCGGCCUUUUUUUCAUUGAAUGAAAGGGUCUAUUAGUACUGUAAAUAUACAUAGGCAAGCCAUCCCCCAGUAAACACAACACAGUGUACCCAAGGUGGAUGAUGCAGGUGGAACCUGUGCAGUGCUCUAAAUUCUGAAGAAAGUCGUGUGGAAUGCUGUAGAAGAUUCCUGGGGCGGUUGAGUAAUGUUGUCAGACCAGCCUGUCUGCUCUGGGCCAUGCAUACCCUCAGUUCUAUGACUCCCACACCUCAGCAGGUUACCAGGCCCGAUCCACUGGCUCAGAGCAGCCUGGCUACCUACCCAGCAUUCCUCUUGCUUUAGUCAAAGGAUUCCGGCAUGGUGCAGGGAAAGUUGCUGUAGAGGUCCCACACGUCUUACUGGAGGAUUCAAACAUUUCUGAGUCAAGCGUCAAAACAAAAAGAGACUUAACUCGGAGGAAUGUUUCACGGUGAUGGGGGACUCUAAUAUACUUUGAAGGAGACACUAGUGCAGAGACAGUCGUGAGAGAGAACCACUCAAUGUUGGCCUACAAUCAGCCAUGUGCAUUCAUAGCCCUAAGGAGAAAUACAAGCUUGUGCACAUUCUUUCUUGAAAUGUGUUUUUGUCUGGUUGAAAUGCCAAGCAUGACACAUCAUAUAUAAGCUUAUUUAGCUGUUUGUGUCCCUUGAAGAUAAAAAGUACUUAGCUUAUUUGAAUGCUUGUUUUAUCUAUUUACUCAUCCAUAAAUCCAUAACAUUUCAGUGUGAUUAAUCAUGACUGUGAGGAUUUAAGAUUGACAUUAAAUUAAAUUAGACUGGUGAAAACAAGUAUUAUUCUUGAGAUUUGAGUACUGUAACUGGAAUGUGAAAGGUCACCAUGAUCACCUGACUGAAACGCAUGCUCUUUAUUCUCCAGUUGAGAGGAGAUACUGUCUGUGUGUGUUCGCGCACGCAUAGUGUAUUCGUUUUUACAAUGGCCUUGUUGUGUUUCAAUGAAGUCAUGAAAGUUCCUUAUCUGAUAUCAGCACAUAACAUAACUUUCUGAGACGGCGAGAUUGUGAAAGGAAAAAGCAUCCAUUUAUGUCUUGUAGAUAUCAUUGGUCUGUCUUCUCACCAAUUCUAUUCAUCAGUUGUCAUGCUUCCCAUAGUUCUGCUAUUUGUAAUGUCCCAAAUCCAUUGGUCAAAAUAAAUGCCAAUUCCAGAACCAUUUA